UACGGGGGGAGCAAGCGUUGUUCGGAUUUACUGGGCGUAAAGGGCGCGUAGGCGGCCACCGCAAGUCGACUGUGAAAUCUCCGGGCUUAACCCGGAAAGGUCAGCCGAUACUGCGGGGCUAGAGUGCAGAAGGGGCAACUGGAAUUCUCGGUGUAGCGGUGAAAUGCGUAGAUAUCGAGAGGAACACCUGCGGCGAAGGCGGGUUGCUGGGCUGACACUGACGCUGAUGCGCGAAAGCUAGGGGAGCGAACGGGAUUAGAAACCCUAGGU
rnacentral:rRNA from 1 species